rnacentral:rRNA from 1 species
UACGUAGGUGGCAAGCGUUGUCCGGAAUCACUGGGCGUAAAGCGCGCGCAGGCGGCGAUCUACGUCUGGGGUGAAAGCCCGGAGCUCAACUCCGGGACUGCCUUGGAUACGGGAUCGCUUGAGGAUUGGAGAGGCAAGGGGAAUUCCACGUGUAGCGGUGAAAUGCGUAGAUAUGUGGAGGAACACCUGUGGCGAAGGCGCCUUGCUGGCCACAUAUUGACGCUGAGGUGCGAAAGCGUGGGGAGCAAACGGG